UGAAAGAAUAUCACGUGGAGUUAUCGUAUAAUUCGACAAAGUAUCGACUUGUUGUAAUUCCUCUCUCAUGUUAUUCGGUGAUGUAGAAAGAAGUGACGUCAAGCAAAGAACUUUUCCUUCGGAUUCCAAAUGUCGACUGCGUCUCAAAUUAUAAAAUUUUUCCAUAAAAAUUUGCUUGAAGUUGGGGUAUGUGUCUACGUUGGGAGGAUAAAUUCAGAAACUCGAUGAAAAAUUUAAUUAUCAAGGACGGACACUCUCUUGGAUGGACCGCAUACGAGCAUAAGUUGGGAAGAAAUAAGGAAGAAAGAGAGUGAGACAAAUAGGGGGAGAGAGAGAGAGAGAGAGAGAGAAACAUAAACUACUCUACACCUUCUUCCUCUCAAUUCAUUCAUAUUCGAGAGUUUAGAUAGAAAAUACCUAUGGACUUGAAAGAGAAGAGGAAUUCUCUUUAUCUCUUUCACUUUGACUAUGUAUGUUAUAUGUCGUAAUUUACAUGUAUAGUGGAGACUAUAAAGUUAGAAAAAAUUCACGUUCCUGGAAUACAUAGAAUAAUUUUCAGACUAAAUUUUCUCUUAAAUUGACAAAAAAGAAACGAAAUUGAAAUUGAACUUAAAGAGAUAACGUUUUUUUUUUCUUUUUUUUUUUUCUUUUAAUUGUUAUUAUAUAAAAAGAGAAGUGUUUGUUUUUUUAUCUGAAAAGAAAAAAAAAAAAAGAAAAUCGUAGUAAGAAGAAAUAAAGUUUUUUUUCUUUUUUCUUUUUCUUUUCUUUUCAAGAAAAAUAUAUUAUUAUAAUAUCAUUAUUGUUGUUGUUGUUGAUUAAAUUUUAUUAUUGUCGCAUUAAUAUCAACAUCGUAGCACUUAUUAAUAUCUUGAUAAUGAUGUACCUGUAAAAAAUAUUAUUUA